GCGAGUCUGAAUAGGGCGCAUAAGUAACAGGUCGUAGACCCGAAACCAGGUGAUCUACCCAUGUCCAGGAUGAAGGUAAGGUAAUACUUACUGGAGGUCCGAACCCACGCACGUUGAAAAGUGCGGGGAUGAGGUGUGGGUAGCGGAGAAAUUCCAAUCGAACUUGGAGAUAGCUGGUUCUCUCCGAAAUAGCUUUAGGGCUAGCCUCGAGGUAAAGAGUCAUGGAGGUAGAGCACUGUUUGGACUAGGGGCCCUUCUCGGGUUACCGAAUUCAGAUAAACUCCGAAUGCCAUGUACUUAUACUCGGGAGUCAGACUGCGAGUGAUAAGAUCCGUAGUCGAAAGGGAAACAGCCCAGACCACCAGUUAAGGUCCCCAAAUAUAUGUUAAGUGGAAAAGGAUGUGGGGUUGCUUAGACAACCAGGAUGUUGGCUUAGAAGCAGCCACCAUUGAAAGAGUGCGUAAUAGCUCACUGGUCGAGUGACCCCGCGCCGAAAAUGUACCGGGGCUAAACAUAUUACCGAAACUGUGGAUGAACCUCUUUAGAGGUUCGUGGUAGGAGAGCGUUCUAAGGGCGGUGAAGUCAGACCGGAAGGACUGGUGGAGCGCUUAGAAGUGAGAAUGCCGGUAUGAGUAGCGAAAGAAGGGUGAGAAUCCCUUCCACCGAAUAUCUAAGGUUUCCUGAGGAAGGCUCGUCCGCUCAGGGUUAGUCGGGACCUAAGCCGAGGCCGAUAGGCGUAGGCGAUGGACAACAGGUAGAGAUUCCUGUACCAGUGCUAAUUGUUUAACCGAUGGGGUGAC
rnacentral:rRNA from 1 species